rnacentral:rRNA from 1 species
UACGUAGGGGGCAAGCGUUGUCCGGAAUCAUUGGGCGUAAAGCGCGUGUAGGCGGCUCGAUAAGUCUGCUGUGAAAGUCCAGGGCUCAACCCUGGGAUGCCGGUGGAUACUGUCGAGCUCGAGUCCGGAAGAGGCGAGUGGAAUUCCUGGUGUAGCGGUGAAAUGCGCAGAUAUCAGGAGGAACACCGAUGGCGAAGGCAGCUCGCUGGGACGUGACUGACGCUGAGACGCGAAAGCGUGGAGAGCGAACAGG